GACCGCGAGAUCGUGACCUGGCUGAAGUCGGACACUUAACCGACUGCGCCACCCAGGCUAGUCUGGAAGACAGAGUCCCAACAGCAAGAGGGGAAGUGCUGAAACCUGUUGAUUCCUGGGCGUCACAUCACAUUGCUUCCUCUACAUUUGAUUGACCAGACUAAGUCGUAAGGUUGACAAAGAAAUGAGAAUCAUCUUUAUUACCUUCAAAUUGGAAGUGGGCGGCAAGUUCUUAAUAUGACUGAAAAUAAUAAGUACCCAGAAGUGGAAUGGCUGGAUCAUAUGGGAGUUCUUUUU